ACAAAAGGGGAGCCUGUAAGGAUUAGGCUGAGAGUGGGCUGAUACCGCCCUUACCCAUGAACCUGAUUUGGAUAAUGCCAACGUAGGGAUAUA
rnacentral:ncRNA from 1 species